AGCCAAGUGGUAAGGCAUCGGUUUUUGGUAUCGUGUAUCGUAGGUUCGAAUCCUACC
rnacentral:tRNA from 1 species